GAAUGAAUGAGAGAAAAAGGCAAAGAACAAGAAAGAAGGUAAUGAAAUGGAAUGGAAGCACGCUUCUUUCUUUUCUUUGCUCUUUUUCAACUCAUUCACCCAUCAAUCUCACGGUAUCUUCUGGGGUGUGUCUCUUUCUCUUCUUUCUUUUCGUUUAAUUACAAGUGAGUGAAGGAUGAACGAAUGCGUGAAUUAAACGAAAGAAAGAAAGAGAAAGACCACACACUACACACCACGUUCUUUUCUUCUUUUAUUCGGUUCUAUUCUCGCUUCAUUACAUUCCAUUGAAAUAGAACCGAAUAAAAGA
rnacentral:ribozyme from 1 species